rnacentral:lncRNA from 1 species
AAAACUUUCUUGAGCACAAGGUCACCUUCUCUGAACACACGAGGUUUGACCUUCUUAUCGAAUGCUUUCUUCAUUCUCUGCUGAUAUAACUGACCAUGACACAUGGCAGUUAAUCGCUUCUCUUCGAUCAAAUUCAAUUGGUCAUAACGACUCUGAAUCCAUUCAGCAUUAGUCAACUAGGGACUUUGAGGGUAUCAGGCUUCUUUUAUUCUUUUUUCUAUUUGAAAAAUUUUUCCUGAUUUUUGCUUUUACUUAUUUUUCACCCUCUUCUCUCUUCUUUU